rnacentral:sRNA from 1 species
GAAAUUUUUUCAACACCAAAAUUUGUGUCUAAUCCUAAACACUAACUAAUGAUGCACACAGAAGGGGAAUUAUAGAGGGAAGAAGAAUUUACUCUGGUAAUGUGUUUGAUGGUGUUAAAAAUGAUGUUAAGACGAAACUAUUGUUGUAAACAGUGAUGGGUGCCAAG